UACAGAGGGUGGCAAGCGUUGUUCGGAAUUAUUGGGCGUAAAGCGCGUGUAGGCGGCUUUGCAAGUCGGGUGUGAAAGCCCUCAGCUCAACUGAGGAAGUGCGCCCGAAACUGCAGAGCUUGAGUACCGGAGAGGAUGGCGGAAUUCCCCAAGUAGAGGUGAAAUUCGUAGAUAUGGGGAGGAACACCGGUGGCGAAGGCGGCCAUCUGGACGGAUACUGACGCUGAGACGCGAAAGCGUGGGGAGCAAACAGG
rnacentral:rRNA from 1 species